rnacentral:rRNA from 1 species
UUAAUUCUUUACGUGAACCUGCGGAAGGAUCAUUA